rnacentral:lncRNA from 1 species
GUUCUUACUUCGGAAAGCUAAUAAUUUUGUUAGCUCUUUCUUCAGAUCCUUUGAAGCAAAAGAUUCUUGAUUGGAAGACUCGGUUCAACAUAAUGGAAGGAAUAUGCAGAGGUCUUUUGUACCUUCACAGAGAUUCAAGACUAAGGAUCAUACACAGAGAUCUAAAAGCCAGCAACAUUUUGUUAGAUGACAACCUGAAUCCUAAAAUAUCUGAUUUCGGGCUUGCAAGAGUUUUCCGAGCGAAUGAAGAUGAAGCUAACACAAGAAGGGUUGUAGGGACAUAGUAAGUAUUCAUUCCCAAAAAAUAGUAACACAAAUAUUUUGAAAACCAGUUUUAUCAUAGCCUAUAUGAAUGAUUUUUUGAUGUUAUUGCAGCGGCUACAUGUCACCGGAAUAUGCAAUGGAAGGUUUAUUUUCAGAAAAAUCAGACGUUUUCAGCUUGGGGGUUAUACUUUUAGAGAUCAUAAGCGGGAGAAGAAACUCUCACAAGGAAGAGAAUCAUCCAAACCUUUUAUCUUAUGUAAGUGUGUGCUAAUAAUUAGUGUUUAGUAGCUUUUAAACUUUACCCGUAAGUUUGGUCUGUUUACAGGUGUGGACGCUGUGGAAUGAGGGUGAGGCUGCUUCUCUAGCAGAUCCAAACGUCUUUGAUGAGUCUUUCGUGAAAGAGAUAGCAAAUUGUGUUCAGAUUGGUUUGUUGUGUGUGCAAGAAGUUGCUGACGAUAGACCGAAUGUUUCAACUGUGAUCUGGAUGCUAACAACUGAGAACAUGAACCUCCCUGAGCCGAAGCAGCCUGCGUUUAUAACAAGAAGAGAAAAGUCUGAGGGUGAAUCUUCUAACCAGAGUAGUCAAAAGGUCUCUAUCAAUGAUGUGAGCCUCACAUCUGUUACAGGGCGUUAAGCUCACAAAUCCAAUCUGAUUAUGUAUAAUUAAAAAGGUUUGAAUAAGUUUGGCUAAUAAUUAAGUGUGUUGAUUAAAAAUGUGUGGAGUGUUAUAAGUCGAUAUAGACAUUAUGAUCUGUGUUGAAUAAGUUGUAAGACUCUAAAGAAUAUGUAUGCUAAUAUAAUACAUAUAAGGUUGGAGAAACUCAUAUGCUUCAUGCUUGCAAAUUUUGUUAUUGAGAUUAAAGAACAAGAGAUGUAUAUCUGAGAAGUUAUGUUCAGAUUUGGUCUUAUGACCUCAGUUAAAAUCACUUCAAUAGUUUCUAGUACUGAAACUUAACUAACCUGGAUGAAGAAGCUGAAAAGGAGAAAGAACAUAAACCACAUAUGUUCUUGAGAAGCCACUUUUUUCUUUUCUUGAGAAGCCACACUAUUAUGGUUUUGUGUGUUUGGGUUUG